rnacentral:tRNA from 1 species
CGAGGUGUAGCGCAGUUGAUAGCGCGCCAGUUUCGGGUACUGGAGGCCGCGGGUUUGAGUCCCGCCACUUCGACCA